rnacentral:rRNA from 1 species
CCUACGGGGGGCAGCAGUAGGGAAUAUUGGACAAUGGGUGAGAGCCUGAUCCAGCCAUGCCGCGUGCAGGAAGAAGGCCUUCUGGGUUGUAAACUGCUUUUGCCGGGGGAUAAAAGAACCCUGCGGGGUAAAUUGAAGGUACCCGGUGAAUAAGCCACGGCUAACUACGUGCCAGCAGCCGCGGUAAUACGUAGGUGGCAAGCGUUGUCCGGAUUUAUUGGGUUUAAAGGGUGCGUAGGCGGCCCUGUAAGUCAGUGGUGAAAUACUCCAGCUCAACUGGAGAGGUGCCAUUGAUACUGCAGGGCUUGAGUGUGGUCGAGGCGGAUGGAAUUGACGGUGUAGCGGUGAAAUGCUUAGAUAUCGUCAAGAACACCGAUAGCGAAGGCAGUUCGCUAGGCCACAACUGACGCUGAGGCACGAAAGUGCGGGGAUCAAACAGGAUUAGAUACCCCAGUAGUC